rnacentral:rRNA from 1 species
UACGUAGGGUGCAAGCGUUAAUCGGAAUUACUGGGCGUAAAGCGUGCGCAGGCGGUGAUGUAAGACAGUUGUGAAAUCCCCGGGCUCAACCUGGGAACUGCAUCUGUGACUGCAUCGCUGGAGUGCGGCAGAGGGGGAUGGAAUUCCGCGUGUAGCAGUGAAAUGCGUAGAUAUGCGGAGGAACACCGAUGGCGAAGGCAAUCCCCUGGGCCUGCACUGACGCUCAUGCACGAAAGCGUGGGGAGCAGACAGG